rnacentral:rRNA from 1 species
CCCUUAGAGUUUGAUCCUGGCUCAGGAUGAACGCUGGCGGCGUGCUUAACACAUGCAAGUCGAACGAAGCAUUUAGAACAGAUUACUUCGGUUUGAAGUUCUUUAUGACUGAGUGGCGGACGGGUGAGUAACGCGUGGGUAACCUGCCUUGUACUGGGGGAUAGCAGCUGGAAACGGCUGGUAAUACCGCAUAAGCGCACAAUGUUGCAUGACAUGGUGUGAAAAACUCCGGUGGUAUAAGAUGGACCCGCGUCUGAUUAGCUAGUUGGUGAGAUAACAGCCCACCAAGGCGACGAUCAGUAGCCGACCUGAGAGGGUGACCGGCCACAUUGGGACUGAGACACGGCCCAGACUCCUACGGGAGGCAGCAGUGGGGAAUAUUGCACAAUGGAGGAAACUCUGAUGCAGCGACGCCGCGUGAGUGAAGAAGUAAUUCGUUAUGUAAAGCUCUAUCAGCAGGGAAGAUAGAGACGGUACCUAACUAAGAAGCUCCGGCUAA